rnacentral:tRNA from 1 species
UGCCCCAUGGCCAAGCGGUAAGGCAACGGAUUCUGAUUCCGUCAUUCCAAGGUUCGAAUCCUUGUGGCGCUGCGA